rnacentral:rRNA from 1 species
GCAGGUCGAACGGACGAUGAAGAGCUUGCUUUUCAAGUUAGUGGCGGACGGCUGAGUAACGCGUGGGUAACCUGCCUCAUACAGGGGGAUAGCAGCUGGAAACGGCUGAUAAAACCGCAUAAGCGCACAGCAUCGCAUGAUGCAGUGUGAAAAACUCCGGUGGUAUGAGAUGGACCCGCGUCUGAUUAGCUGGUUGGUGAGGUAACGGCCCACCAAGGCGACGAUCAGUAGCCGGCCUGAGAGAGUGACCGGCCACAUUGGGACUGAGACACGGCCCAAACUCCUACGGGAGGCAGCAGUGGGGAAUAUUGCACAAUGGGGGAAACCCUGAUGCAGCGACGCCGCGUGAAGGAAGAAGUAUCUCGGUAUGUAAACUUCUAUCAGCAGGGAAGAUAAUGACGGUACCUGACUAAGAAGCCCCGGCUAACUACGUGCCAGCAGCCGCGGUAAUACGUAGGGGGCAAGCGUUAUCCGGAUUUACUGGGUGUAAAGGGAGCGUAGGCGGCGGAGCAAGUCAGAAGUGAAAGCCCGGGGCUCAACCCCGGGACGGCUUUUGAAACUGCCCUGCUUGAUUUCAGGAGAGGUAAGCGGAAUUCCUAGUGUAGCGGUGAAAUGCGUAGAUAUUGGGAGGAACACCAGUGGCGAAGGCGGCUUACUGGACGAUGACUGACGUUGAGGCUCGAAAGCGUGGGGAGCAAACAGGAUUAGAUACCCUGGUAGU